CCUGGUCAUUAGGCUCAAAGGUCC
rnacentral:siRNA from 1 species